CUCUGUUACAGAUAUUUUGUAGGUGCUUGGGCUGUAUCAAUGAGCAAAAGAGUUUCCUGUUCUCAAGGAGUUUAUGGUCCAACAGGGAAGAUGCCGCACUGGCACCGGGCACAUGGGCUGAACUCAAGGGAUUCGUAACAUUAAGAGAUGUCUCAUAUAACUAUAUGAUGCUGAGAGAAGAUGGGGACAAAAAUAAAAGAAGAAGAAGAAAGUUCCUUAGCUUUAAGAAUUUGCAUUUUGGGGGCGCCUGGUGACUAAGAGUUGGUUAACCAUCUAACUCUUGAUUUUGGCUCAGGUCAUAAUCUUACAGUCUGUGAGACUGAGCCCUGCAUUGGGCUCUGUGCUGACAGCAUGGAGCCUGCUUGGGGUUUUCUGUCUCCUCUUUCUCUGCCCCUCUCCUGCUUGUUCUCUCUCUCUCUCUCUCUCUCAAAAUAAACGUUAAAAAACCACAAAAAACCUUAUUAAAAAAAAUUGCUUUUUGCAUUUGUAAAUGUAAUUCUGUCAACUUUUAAGAGUUGGAAGGAAAUGAGAUAGAUAUAUGUUUUUAAAAAUGACUUUAGAAAAAUUGGAAAGAGGAGUUAGAUUUUCAUUUAUUAAAGAAUAUUCUGUUUUCUUUAGGAUAGACUAUAUUAUUUCAUAUGAUAUUUACUUUUGAAAGGAAGUUUGGAAUUGUUUAAGUGAAAUUUGAAUUUUAAGACUUUGUUUUAAAUAAAACUAACACCAAAGUAUACUCAAAAAGGAGAAUAGAAUCUCUGUUAAGGGUCAUGUAGUA